GAACGGGUGAGUAACACGUGAGUAACCUGCCCUUGACUUUGGGAUAACUUCAGGAAACUGGGGCUAAUACCGGAUAGGAGCUCUGCUGCAUGGUGGGGGUUGGAAAGUUUCGGCGGUUGGGGAUGGACUCGCGGCUUAUCAGCUUGUUGGUGGGGUAGUGGCUUACCAAGGCUUUGACGGGUAGCCGGCCUGAGAGGGUGACCGGCCACAUUGGGACUGAGAUACGGCCCAGACUCCUACGGGAGGCAGCAGUGGGGAAUAUUGCACAAUGGGCGGAAGCCUGAUGCAGCAACGCCGCGUGCGGGAUGACGGCCUUCGGGUUGUAAACCGCUUUCGCCUGUGACGAAGCGUGAGUGACGGUAAUGGGUAAAGAAGCACCGGCUAACUACGUGCCAGCAGCCGCGGUGAUACGUAGGGUGCGAGCGUUGUCCGGAUUUAUUGGGCGUAAAGGGCUCGUAGGUGGUUGAUCGCGUCGGAAGUGUAAUCUUGGGGCUUAACCCUGAGCGUGCUUUCGAUACGGGUUGACUUGAGGAAGGUAGGGGAGAAUGGAAUUCCUGGUGGAGCGGUGGAAUGCGCAGAUAUCAGGAGGAACACCAGUGGCGAAGGCGGUUCUCUGGGCCUUUCCUGACGCUGAGGAGCGAAAGCGUGGGGAGCGAACAGGCUUAGAUACCCUGGUAGUCCACGCUGUAAACGGUGGGUACUAGGUGUGGGGUCCAUUCCACGGGUUCCGUGCCGUAGCUAACGCUUUAAGUACCCCGCCUGGGGAGUACGGCCGCAAGGCUAAAACUCAAAGGAAUUGACGGGGCCCCGCACAAGCGGCGGAGCAUGCGGAUUAAUUCGAUGCAACGCGUAGAACCUUACCUGGGUUUGACAUGGAUCGGGAGUGCUCAGAGAUGGGUGUGCCUCUUUUGGGGUCGGUUCACAGGUGGUGCAUGGCUGUCGUCAGCUCGUGUCGUGAGAUGUUGGGUUAAGUCCCGCAACGAGCGCAACCCUUGUUCACUGUUGCCAGCACGUUAUGGUGGGGACUCAGUGGAGACCGCCGGGGUCAACUCGGAGGAAGGUGGGGAUGACGUCAAGUCAUCAUGCCCCUUAUGUCCAGGGCUUCACGCAUGCUACAAUGGCUGGUACAGAGAGUGGCGAGCCUGUGAGGGUGAGCGAAUCUCGGAAAGCCGGUCUCAGUUCGGAUUGGGGUCUGCAAC
rnacentral:rRNA from 1 species